CACGGGGAGGUAGUGACGAAAAAUAACGAUACGGGACUCAUCCGAGGCCCCGUAAUCGGAAUGAGUAUACUCUAAAUCCUUGUACAAGUAUCAAUUGGAGGGCAAGUCCGGUGCCAGCAGCCGCGGUAAUUCCAGCUCCAAUAGCGUAUAUUAAAGUUGUUGCGGUUAAAAAGCUCGUAGUUGGAUCUGUGUCCUUCGACGCCGGUUCACCGCAUGUCGGUGCCAACUGGCGUUUUGCGGGACGUCUUGUCGGUGGUGUGCCAGGGAUCUUUGUUGUGCUGGGCUUUGCCCUAGUGCAGCUCUGGUUUCGGGCCACUUUCAUAAUCCCGCCGCGGUGCUCUUAAUCGGGUGUCGAGGCGGGCCGGCACGUUUACUUUGAACAAAUUAGAGUGCUUAAAGCAGGCUUGUCACGCCUGUAUACUGUGUGCAUGGAAUAAUGGAAUAGGACCUCGGUUCUAUUUUGUUGGUUUCCGGAAUCUGAGGUAAUGAUCAAUGGGGACAGGCGGGGGCAUUCGUAUUGCGACGUUAGAGGUGAAAUUCUUGGAUCGUCGCAAGACGGACCGAAGCGAAAGCAUUUGCCAAGUAUGUUCCCGUCGAUCAAGAACGAAAGUUAGAGGUUCGAAGGCGAUCAGAUACCGCCCUAGUUCUAACCAUAAACAAUGCCUGCCAGCGAUCCGCCGGCGUCUUUUCCGAUGACCCGGCGGGCAGCUUCCGGGAAACCAGAGCUUUUGGGUUCCGGGGGAAGUAUGGUUGCAAAGCUGAAACUUAAAGGAAUUGACGGAAGGGCACCACCAGGAGUGGAGCCUGCGGCUUAAUUUGACUCAACACGGGAAAACUCACCAGGCCCGGACACCGGAAGGAUUGACAGAUUGAUAGCUCUUUCUUGAUUCGGUGGGUGGUGGUGCAUGGCCGUUCUUAGUUGGUGGAGCGAUUUGUCUGGUUAAUUCCGAUAACGAACGAGACUCUAGCCUACUAACUAGACGUAUCUGGUAUCAGCAAUCGUGCUACCAGCGAUCAUAUCUCUUCUUAGAGGGACAGGCGGCUUCUAGCCGCACGAGACUGAGCAAUAACAGGUCUGUGAUGCCCUUAGAUGUCCUGGGCCGCACGCGCGCUACACUGAAGGAAUCAGCGUGUCUUCCCUGUCCGAAAGGACCGGGUAACCCGCUGAACCUCCUUCGUGCUUGGGAUUGGGGCUUGCAAUUAUUCCCCAUGAACGAGGAAUUCCCAGUAAGCGCGAGUCAUAAGCUCGCGUUGAUUACGUCCCUGCCCUUUGUACACACC
rnacentral:rRNA from 1 species